rnacentral:rRNA from 1 species
GCUACACAUGCAGUCGAGCGAGAUCUUCGGAUCUAGCGGCGGACGGGUGAGUAACGCGUGGGAACGUGCCCUUUGCUACGGAAUAGUCCCGGGAAACUGGGUUUAAUACCGUAUACGCCCUUCGGGGGAAAGAUUUAUCGGCAAAGGAUCGGCCCGCGUUGGAUUAGGUAGUUGGUGGGGUAAUGGCCUACCAAGCCGACGAUCCAUAGCUGGUUUGAGAGGAUGAUCAGCCACACUGGGACUGAGACACGGCCCAGACUCCUACGGGAGGCAGCAGUGGGGAAUCUUAGACAAUGGGGGCAACCCUGAUCUAGCCAUGCCGCGUGAGUGAUGAAGGCCUUAGGGUUGUAAAGCUCUUUCAGCUGGGAAGAUAAUGACGGUACCAGCAGAAGAAGCCCCGGCUAACUCCGUGCCAGCAGCCGCGGUAAUACGGAGGGGGCUAGCGUUGUUCGGAAUUACUGGGCGUAAAGCGCACGUAGGCGGAUUGAAAAGUUGGGGGUGAAAUCCCGGGGCUCAACCUCGGACUGCCUCCAAAACUAUCAGUCUAGAGUUCGAGAGAGG